rnacentral:rRNA from 1 species
GACGAACGCUAGCGGCGUGCUUAACACAUGCAAGUCGAACGCUGAAGCACCAGCUUGCUGGUGUGGAUGAGUGGCGAACGGGUGAGUAAUACGUGAGUAACCUGCCCUUGACUCUGGGAUAAGCCCGGGAAACUGGGUCUAAUACUGGAUGCUACAUGUCACCGCAUGGUGGUGUGUGGAAAGGGUUUACCGGUCUUGGAUGGGCUCACGGUCUAUCAGCUUGUUGGUGAGGUAAUGGCUCACCAAGGCGACGACGGGUAGCCGGCCUGAGAGGGUGACCGGCCACACUGGGACUGAGACACGGCCCAGACUCCUACGGGAGGCAGCAGUGGGGAAUAUUGCACAAUGGGCGAAAGCCUGAUGCAGCGACGCCGCGUGAGGGAUGACGGCCUUCGGGUUGUAAACCUCUUUCAGCAGGGAAGAAGCCACAAGUGACGGUACCUGCAGAAGAAGCGCCAGCUAACUACGUGCUAGCCGCCGCGGUAACAC